rnacentral:rRNA from 1 species
AUUGAACGCUGGCGGCAGGCCUAACACAUGCAAGUCGAACGGUAACAGGAAGAAGCUUGCUUCUUUGCUGACGAGUGGCGGACGGGUGAGUAAUGUCUGGGAAACUGCCUGAUGGAGGGGGAUAACUACUGGAAACGGUAGCUAAUACCGCAUAACGUCGCAAGACCAAAGAGGGGGACCUUCGGGCCUCUUGCCAUCGGAUGUGCCCAGAUGGGAUUAGCUAGUAGGUGGGGUAACGGCUCACCUAGGCGACGAUCCCUAGCUGGUCUGAGAGGAUGACCAGCCACACUGGAACUGAGACACGGUCCAGACUCCUACGGGAGGCAGCAGUGGGGAAUAUUGCACAAUGGGCGCAAGCCGGAUGCAGCCAUGCCGCGUGUAUGAAGAAGGCCUUCGGGUUGUAAAGUACUUUCAGCGGGGAGGAAGGGAGUAAAGUUAAUACCUGUGCUCAUUGACGUUACCCGCAGAAGAAGCACCGGCUAACUCCGU